AGGUAGUAAAAAAUUAACUUUAAACCUAUUUAUAACGGCGGCAUUUAAUCUUUUUAGAGGAAUCUGUUUCUUAAUUGACAAUCCACAAUAAUUUUCACUUUAAAUAAAAACUUAUAUACCGCCAUCUAAAGAAUUAGAUUUGACAAUUUAUUCCUAAUAAAAAUUAAAAAGUUAGGUCAAGGUGUAGUUUAUAUUAAAGUUUUAAUGGAUUACCUUAAAAACAUUUAAGGAUUAAUAAAAUUCAUUUAUUUAUAAAAAAGGAUUUAAAAGUAAUAAGAUAACAAUAUUUUCUUAUAAAUAAGAUAAUAAAUGUGC
rnacentral:rRNA from 1 species